rnacentral:misc_RNA from 1 species
AAGCCGUGCUACUGUUUAUGGUGCGGGGGGGGGAGGAUCUCUGCUUAUUACCCUAGGGCAACUUUUUUGCUUUGAUUCUCCCGCCAUUUCAGGGUUGGUAGCUACGGUUACACUAGUAUUGCACAAAAAAAUACUAUCGACUUAAAAAAUACCAGAAAGAUUACAAUGCCUUAAAAAAUACCUAUCGAUAGGCACAAAACUCCCAUCACUGCUUACGAUUACCAUCUCUAAUAUAAACAAUCAACAAGAAGAAGAAAAAAUGGAAAAGGCGAAGAAACAUGGAGACACAUUCCCUGGAGGUCGUCAAGUAGAUUUGCUGGAAGCAUUUCGCCGGCGUCGCUGGAAUUCGUGGAAGCGUCGUCAAACAGUUCUUGGAAGUGGCUGGGGCAGCAACGGCGGCGUAGCAGGGAAAAAAUCGGCGGCGACACGGUGGCAGCAGCUUCGUCGAAAAGUGGCGUCGACGUCGGCAGCAUCGCAGCACCAGACGGGUGUCAGGACGGCGACUCUCAUAGGGCCGCGCCAUUUCCAUGGAACCUCAAUAUGGAAAGGCGACGGCGGAGGCAUGGCCAGCGACUGGAGGUGCGGGCAGAGGUGUAGAAGAUCCGUGGGCGUGGCAUAGUAGGCGUCAGGUCGUCGCCAUGGUCAAGAUGCGUAUCCCAAAGAGGGAGGUCGUCAGGAUCGGAUCGUUGUCAAUACAGGUUGUUGCGGCCUAUACUCGGAUGAGAUCCCCGGCCAUA